rnacentral:rRNA from 1 species
GACGAACGCUGGCGGCGUGCCUAAUACAUGCAAGUCGAGCGAACAGGCCUAGAUCUUUUUGGUGCGUGGACCGGAGGAGACUAGAGACAAACGAGCGGAGGACGUCCGUGUAACACGUGGGUAACCUGGGCAAGAGAGCGAGAAUACCACUGGAUAUACUGGCUCAUACCGGGGAAUAGUAAUAGACGGAUGUCCAGUGUGUAAUAGAUGGUUCCGCGCUCCCUCUUGGAGUUGCCUGCGGUGCAGUAGCUAGUUGGUAAGGGAACGGCUUACCAAGGCGACGAUGCAUAGCCGAGUUGAGAGACUGAUCGGCCACAUUGGGACUGAGACACGGCCCAAACUCCUACGGGAGGCAGCAGUAGGGAAUCUUCCGCAAUGGGCGCAAGUCUGAUGGAGCAACGCCGCGUGAGUGAAGAAGGGUUUCGGCUCGUAAAGCUCUGUUGGUAGUGAAGAAAGAUAGUGGUAGUAACUGGGCUUUAUUUGACGGUAAUUACUGAGAAAGUCACGGCUAACUACGUG